rnacentral:tRNA from 1 species
GUUCCCGUCGUCUAGACGGUCAGGACGCCUCUCUUUCAAGGAGGUAACGCCGGUUCGAGUCCGGCCGGGAAUACCA